GGGCCCGCACAAGCGGUGGAGCAUGUGGUUCAAUUCGAUGCAACGCGAAGAACCUUACCUGGUCUUGACAUCCCGGGAAUCCCCCUGAAAGGGGGGAGUGCCUUCGGGAACCCGGUGACAGGUGCUGCAUGGCUGUCGUCAGCUCGUGUCGUGAGAUGUUGGGUUAAGUCCCGCAACGAGCGCAACCCUUGUCUUUAGUUGCCAGCGGUUCGGCCGGGCACUCUAGAGAGACUGCCGGUGUCAAACCGGAGGAAGGUGGGGAUGACGUCAAGUCCUCAUGGCCUUUAUGACCAGGGCUACACACGUGCUACAAUGACCGGUACAAAGGGCAGCGACACCGCGAGGUGAAGCAAAUCCCAAAAAACCGGCCCCAGUACGGAUUGCAGUCUGCAACUCGACUGCAUGAAGUUGGAAUCGCUAGUAAUCGCGGAUCAGCACGCCGCGGUGAAUACGUUCCCGGGCCUU
rnacentral:rRNA from 1 species